GGUCUUGAGAUGGGGAGGUUAGCCUGCAUUAUCCAGGUGGGUCUUAAAUGCAAUCAUAAAUGUCCUUACAAAGCAGAGGCCGAGAGAGAUUUGACACAGAAGGAGAAGGUAGCAUAACCACUGAAGCAAGACAUUACGCUGCUGGCUUUGAAGAUGGAGGAAGGGACCACAAGCCUGAUUGUAUAUUUAGAAAACCCUGUCAUCUCAGCCCAAAAUCUUCUUAAACUGAUAAGCAACUUCAGCAAAGUCUUAGGAUAUAAAAUCAAUGUGCAAAAAUCACAUGCAUUCCUAUACACCAAUAAUAGACAGAGAGUCAAAUUAUGAGUAAACUCCCAUUCACAAUUGCUACAAGAGAAUAAAAUA
rnacentral:lncRNA from 1 species